AUACGGAGGGUGCAAACGUUGCUCGGAAUUAUUGGGCGUAAAGCGCGCGUAGGCGGCUUGGCAAGUUGGAUGUGAAAGCCCUGGGCUCAACCCAGGAUGUGCAUUCAAAACUGCCGGGCUUGAAUCUCGGAGGGGGUCAGGGAAUUCCCGGUGUAGAGGUGAAAUUCGUAGAUAUCGGGAGGAACACCAGUGGCGAAGGCGCUGGCCUGGACGAUGAUUGACGCUGAGGCGCGAAAGCGUGGGGAGCAAACAGGAUUAGAUACCCUGGUAGUCCACGCCGUAAACGAUGAGUGCUAGGCGCCGGCGGAUUGACCCCGUCGGUGCCGAAGCUAACGCGUUAAGCACUCCGCCUGGGGAGUACGGUCGCAAGACUAAA
rnacentral:rRNA from 1 species